AAUUGCACUUUAAAAAAAAAAAAAAUAGCAUGCCAUCCGCUCCAUUAAUUUAUUGUUUAAAAAUAAACUUAGCUAGAGAAAUAUAGCAUAUUGUCCACCCGCUUUGUUUAUUUUUAUAAAUAAACUCAACUAAAAAUAUAAAAUAAUUAGACUUUAAGGCAUGUUUGGUUCACCUAUUUUAAAUUAUGGAAUCGAAAUGGAAUUCAUUGAUUUUGAUAGUUAUCGUUUGUUUUAUAGAAAUCAGAUUUCGAUUCCUAUUUCACUCCGGAAUGGGAAUGACCAAAUCCAUUUAUGAUCCCAUCUGGCUUUGAAUUCCGGAUUGGCUCAUUCCAAAAUGAACUAUUCAAAAUCCUCUUUCACCAACACCUACCUCCUCCCCCUUCAUCACUUUUCUCUUUCAUAAUCAAAACCCUCUAUCAAAAAUUUUAAAUUUUCAUUCCGAUUUCUAUUCCAAUAAUAAACCAAAUAUUUUUGAAUGAUUCGUUAUUUCAUUUUUCAUUCCAAAGCAAUUCAAUUCUAUUUCUUAUUCCUAUUCCAAUCAUGAACCAAACACGCCCUAAAUUUCGAACUUCAGACUUCAAACAUCAAGUGUUUAGUCAACCGCGC
rnacentral:lncRNA from 1 species